CACGGUGGAUGCCUUGGCACUAGAAGCCGACGAAGGACGUUACUAACGACGAUAUGCUUUGGGGAGCUGUAAGUAAGCUUUGAUCCAGAGAUUUCCGAAUGGGGAAACCCAGCACGAGUUAUGUCGUGUUAUCUGCAUGUGAAUACAUAGCAUGCAAGAAGGCAGACCCGGAGAACUGAAACAUCUUAGUACCCGGAGGAAGAGAAAGAAAAAUCGAUUCCCUGAGUAGCGGCGAGCGAAACGGGAAGAGCCCAAACCAAUAAGCUUGCUUAUUGGGGUUGUAGGACACUCUGUACGGAGUUACAAAAGAAUUUGUUAGACGAAUAACCUGGAAAGGUUAAUCAGAGAAGGUAAUAAUCCUGUAGUCGAAAACGAAUUCUC
rnacentral:rRNA from 1 species